rnacentral:rRNA from 1 species
ACGUACACUCCUACGGGAGGCAGCAGUGGGGAAUAUUGGACAAUGGGCGCAAGCCUGAUCCAGCCAUGCCGCGUGAGUAAUGAAGGCCCUAGGGUUGUAAAGCUCUUUCACCGGUGAAGAUAAUGACGGUAACCGGAGAAGAAGCCCCGGCUAACUUCGUGCCAGCAGCCGCGGUAAUACGAAGGGGGCUAGCGUUGUUCGGAUUUACUGGGCGUAAAGCGCACGUAGGCGGACUAUUAAGUCAGGGGUGAAAUCCCGGGGCUCAACCCCGGAACUGCCUUUGAUACUGGUAGUCUUGAGUUCGAGAGAGGUGAGUGGAAUUCCGAGUGUAGAGGUGAAAUUCGUAGAUAUUCGGAGGAACACCAGUGGCGAAGGCGGCUCACUGGCUCGAUACUGACGCUGAGGUGCGAAAGCGUGGGGGGCAAACAGGAUUAGAAACCCUGGUAGUCCCAUG